GACGAAGGGGGCUAGCGUUGUUCGGAAUUACUGGGCGUAAAGCGAGUGUAGGUGGUUGUCAUAGUCAGGUGUGAAAGCCUUGAGCUCAACUCAAGAAAUGCACUUGAUACUGGGCGACUAGAGGACCGGAGAGGAUAGUGGAAUUCCCAGUGUAGUGGUGAAAUACGUAGAGAUUGGGAAGAACACCAGUGGCGAAGGCGGCUAUCUGGACGGUUACUGACACUAAGACUCGAAAGCGUGGGGAGCAAACAGGAUUAGAUACCCUGUUAGUCCACGCCGUAAACGAUGGGUGCUAGACGUUGGCGAGCUUGCUCGUCAGUGUCGCAGCUAACGCGUUAAGCACCCCGCCUGGGGAGUACGGCCGCAAGGUUGAA
rnacentral:rRNA from 1 species